UCUCAAUUUUGAAAAGAGAAAAAGAGAGGGAGAGAUGAGGAGAGACCGAGGCAGCUUACCAUAUCCAUAGACAGAGGCCGGAGUGCUCGCGGAGCUGGUCUGAGGUCCUGAGGGCGAGGGAAGUCUCUUACAUGGGAGAACGUGGGUACCGGGAAGAUAGAGGAGAGGUCUGCCGGAGGAGUUCCCCUAUCCCGGGCUUUCGGCACCAAAUGUUAUGCGAGCAUCUAAUUGAAGAGACAACCUGAACAGGCUAAGUGCUUCAAAAUGGUGAGAAGAUAAUGAGAAAAGGAACGAAUCUAUGGAUAAGAAAAUCUUAUCAUAUCUGGAUACCUGAAACAUCCCACAGAACAUCAAGUGGUCUGCUAUAUUAAAGACAUAAUGCAGAGCAAAAAAGACUAGCACACUAGAAGUCUUGGAAGAGAAGCACUCUGGAAUCCUAGAGGAACUACUUAAAUUCCUGCAGAAGGAAGUGGAUCUCAGCAACAUAAGAAUCAACUAUGGUGGUACCUGUGAUGCCCCCUCCUGAAAAAAGCCAGCACUAAUUUGAAGUGACGAAGCACACAGGGCACAGAAUUUAAGGAGAUACACCCUCUCAAGGUCAUACGAAUGAGCAUUUCCUUGAAUUUGUUCCUUAGGCACUUCAGUCGAUUCACCCUAGUCCCUGCUUGUUCCAGAAUUGUCUUUCAAAAUGGAAGAUUUAUCCCUUAGCUACUGGGAGUGUUGUUAGAAGAAAAUCUUUGUCUAAGCAAUCCUUAGGAUGGGCUUUGGUUGAAAAAGUGGCCAUCCAAAAGUCAUAACCGCUACCAUUGGCAGCCCAUAACCCAAAACUACUGAUCAAAUAAAAAAUGUAAAUGCCUGGCUUCCUCUCCCCAAAUCAGGACAAUUCUGUUGGGCCAUCUCAACAUCAAAGCUUACUGUGAGGUGGCUGAAAGCUUCACUGGGACUGCAUCACAGCUCAACUUUUUCUUCACCUUAAUACUGCUUCCUUACCCUCUGCACAUGUGUUCAUCACAAGAGAAAUUUCUAAUUACUUUCCUUUUCACUAACCUGUAUUUCAGAGUCUAUUUCUUGGAGGAAAUCUUGUGAAACCAAAAAUAAAUAACAAAUACA